UACAGAGGGGGCAAGCGUUAUUCGGAAUUACUGGGCGUAAAGCGUGCGCAGGCGGUGAUGUAAGACAGGUGUGAAAUCCCCGGGCUUAACCUGGGAACUGCAUUUGUGACUGCAUCGCUGGAGUGCGGCAGAGGGGGAUGGAAUUCCGCGUGUAGCAGUGAAAUGCGUAGAUAUGCGGAGGAACACCGAUGGCGAAGGCAAUCCCCUGGGCCUGCACUGACGCUCAUGCACGAAAGCGUGGGGAGCAAACAGG
rnacentral:rRNA from 1 species